rnacentral:misc_RNA from 1 species
UUUCCGUUGGUGAACCAGCGGAAGGAUCAUUACAGAGAUCAUGCCCCUCGCGGGUAGACCUCCCACCCUGUGUUAUUUACGAUUGUUGCUUUGGCAGGUCGCCUUCGGGCACUCUGCUCCGGCUGAGGUGCGCCUGCCAGAGGACCCCAACUCUGUGUUUAGUGUCGUCUGAGUACUAUUUUAAUACGUUAAAACUUUCGACAAAGGAUCUCUUGGUUCUGGCAUCGAUGACGAACGCAGC